rnacentral:rRNA from 1 species
UACGGAGGGGGCUAGCGUUGUUCGGAAUUACUGGGCGUAAAGCGCACGUAGGCGGCUUUGCAAGUUAGAGGUGAAAGCCCGGGGCUCAACUCCGGAAUUGCCUUUAAGACUGCAUCGCUAGAAUUGUGGAGAGGUAAGUGGAAUUCCGAGUGUAGAGGUGAAAUUCGUAGAUAUUCGGAAGAACACCGGUGGCGAAGGCGGCAUCCUGGACCAAUUCUGACGCUGAGGAGCGAAAGCCAGGGGAGCAAACGGG